GCUUGCUUCAGCAGCGCAUAUGCUAAAAUUGGAAUACAGCGAUUAGUGUGGCUCCUGUGCAAGAAUGACCUACAAAUUCAUGAAGUGCUCCACAUUUUU
ensembl:snRNA U6 U6 spliceosomal RNA